CCAGUUUUGAUUUUGUGAUUAAAAAUAUGCAGUCUUGAUUGGGAGCAACACAAUAAAUGCAGGAGACAUGCUUACAGAGACAGAUCCCCAUCUAUGGUCAUGAGUGAGGAAGCAAAAAGAAGGACAAAGCCAUUGCACAGGCUGUCAAGGUGUUAUUAAUACUGGAGAUAUUGGGCACAUUCCAGGUUGUCAUUGCAUCAGUCACACUGAGCACAUUUUCAUCUCACUAGGUUCCUUAUAGGCUUGAUUAUUAGUUCACGGACACCAGCAAAAUGCCUUCCAACUAUAAUGGAGUUCUUGGGUGCAUAUAUUUAGCCAAAGCAACUGUUUUAUUUAAAAUUUCAGGUUAAGCAGAGCUUCUGCAUUGAGGGAUUUUUUUUUUUAUCCCCUGCUGUUUUUGUAUGUUUGCCCACAGACAAAGAAAUAAUCAGUCUAUAAUUUUAAUGGUAGGUAUAUUUGAACAGUGAGAGACAGAAUAACAAAAAAAUCCAGAAGAAUGUAUGUCAAAAAUAUUAUAAAUUGAUUUGCAUUUUAAUGAGUGAAAUGAGUACUUGAUCCCGUCUCAAUCAGAAAGAUUUCUGGCUCCCAGGUGCGAUUAUUCACAAAUGGAAGAAACUCAAAAGAACUGUCAUUCUCCCUCGGUCUGGGGCUCCAUGCAAGAUCUCACCUCGUGGAAUUACAAUGAUCAUAAGAACGGUGAGGAAUCCGCCCAGAACAACACUGGAGGAUCUUGUCAAUGAUCUCAAGGCAGCUGGGACCAUAGUCACCAAGAAAACAAUUGGUCACACUACGCCAUGAAGGACUGAAAUCCUGCAGCGCCCGCAAGGUCCCCCUGCUCAUGAAAGCACAUGUACAGGCCGCUAAGGGGACAGGACUUCACCACAUCAUAGGGACGAUUGACAGGGCCACGUACCGUCAAAUCUUGGGUGAGAACCUCCUUUCCUCAGCCAGGGAAUUGAAAAUGGGUCAUGGAUGGGUAUUCCAGUAUGACAAUGACCCCAAACACACGGCCAAGGCAACAAAUGUAGCACAUUAAGGUCCUGGAGUGGCCUAGCCGGUCUCCAGACUUUAAUCCCAUAGAAAAUCUGUGGAGGGAGCUGAAGGUUCCAGUUGCCAAACGUCAGCCUCAAAACCUUAAUGACUUGGAGAAGAUCUGCGAGGAGUGGGACAAAAUCCCUCCUGAGAUGUGUGCAAACCUAGUGGCCAACAACAAGAAACGUCUGACCUCCGUGUUUGCCAACAAGGGUUUUGCCACCAAGUCAUCUUUUGCAGAGGGGUCAAAUAAUUAUUUGACCCUGGAUUUCUUUCUGGAUUUUUUUGUUGUUAUUCUGUCUCUCACUGUCCAAAUAAACCUACCAUUAAAAACUGAUCAUUUCUUUGACAGUGGGCAAACAUACAAAAUCAGGGGAGGGGAUCAAAUAAUUUUUUUCACUGUAUAUACCAAUUCCAGGUUGAUUCCUCCCUGUUUUUUUGUUGGUUUACCUAAAGUGGGGAGGGACCUACCUGAAAAUGGCCAAUAGAACAACAUUUUUUGGAUUGGUGAAAUAAAUGCAACCAAAUGCAACCAAGGUAACUUCCGACACAUUUGCACAUCUCCAGAACCACAUUGAUAUGAUAUUCCCUUGGUUUAUAGCAAUUUUCAAAUGUGCCGCUUAACUGCAUUACAAACAACCUGGCACACACCCAAUGCAAGCAACACUGAGCUGCAUGUUAUUGCAACACCAUAAUCAUCACAUGCAUUGACAAGGAUUCACCAGUUUAACGGUAGGUAGACAAAUCAUGACCUGUCACUUGCAUGUCCAAUGGUUCAUAUAGAAAGGCAUCCCUUUUAGUACAAGGAAUCAAGACAAAUGGUAAAAACAUCAGUCACAUUUACUGCUCACAAUGAUUGACAUUUGUUUAGUCAUAUUCAAUUUUCUGUAUUAUUGCUCAAAUGAGGUUGUGUUGUCUGUCAUAUUGAAACUAAAUGUUGGAGGUAUAACAACGUAAAUUGUUAAUGACUUCUGUCUCAACUGGCCUGCACCCUUUCACAAUUUUAAACACAAUCACUUUAAAAUAUUACGUCAAUCAGAAACCAACCACUUAUUGUAAUAUUGCUGCAGAGCAGACAAUGUUAAUCCAUAAAUCUAUGAUAUUUAUUAUUUAACUCAUUACAUAGUCUAUUGAGGGAUUAUAAAAGAAAAUAAAUAUGCAAACUAGGAUUGUAC
ensembl:lncRNA